CACCAGACUCCUACGGGAGGCAGCAGUGGGGGAUAUUGCACAAUGGGGGAAACCCUGAUGCAGCGACGCCGCGUGUAGGAAGACGGUCCUCUGGAUUGUAAACUACUGUCCCCAGGGACGAAGAUGACGGUACCUGGGGAGGAAGCCCCGGCUAACUACGUGCCAGCAGCCGCGGUAAUACGUAGGGGGCAAGCGUUAUCCGGAUUUACUGGGUGUAAAGGGAGCGUAGACGGAAAGGCAAGUCAGAAGUGAAAGCCCAAGGCUCAACCAUGGGGCUGCUUUUGAAACUGUCAAACUAGAGUACGGGAGAGGUAAGAGGAAUUCCUGGUGUAGCGGUGAAAUGCGUAGAUAUUAGGAGGAACACCAGUGGCGAAGGCGGCCUGCUGGACGAUGACUGACGUUGAGGCUCGAAAGCGUGGGGAGCAAACAGGAUUAGAUACCCUAGUAUCG
rnacentral:rRNA from 1 species